GAUGGAAAGAACUGUGAGUGCUUAGGCAAAAUUACUGUAAGAAUAAGUGUUUAGCCGUAGUGGCUUUAUUUGUUUUUUUUUCGUUAUGUUUCUUUAUCUGCUCUGUAAAGCGACUUUGAGUUCGUGAAAAGCGCUAUUAUGACGUUAUUUUUUUGUCAAAUGUUAUGAGCUUGUAAGACAUGCUCACAAGCACAUUAUGUUAUUUCACACACGCAAAAAUUUACCUUCAGCUGGCAUGAUAAAAUUACUCACGCACAAAUUCAACAACCGAGAGUUGUACAGGUAGCUGCAAGCGAGCGCCUGGCAUACUCUCAUAGGUUAACUCUGCUUGUACAGUGGAACCUGCUCACGCGCAGCGGGCUUCUGCUCGCGGAGCGCUGUUUUGCUCGCGCAGUGGAUUUCUGCUUGCUCGAGUCUACAUGACUUUUGACAAUUUGGGGGCGGGAACCAAGGAGGGCACUGACCCUCUUAUGAUUGGUCACUUUCAUCGUGAUCACAACCACAGGGACAUCCUUAUACCUUGAUUGACAGCUCCCAUUACAGGAAGCACAGAGUUGGGUUAACUUACCACCGAAGAAGACUGGGGUAAGUGAAUGAAUUAGAAUGAGUUUUCUAAUAUACAUAAAAUGUCUCUGACCACGUAUAAAAUGGUGUGCAGGUCAUAGUUAAAUCAAUUGUCAUCGAUGUAUAUUGCGAACGAUGAAGCCUACGUUUUGUUAAGUAAGUUAACAUUAACGUUAAAUACUUUUAAGCAACAAGUAACGUAACUAGCUAGCCUAUCCAUUUUGUAGCUAGCGCCUUAGCCAACACUUGUGAUGCUGGUCACCUGAGACUCAUUUUAAAACUUUUAACCUUUAAAAACUGCAUCUUAGACAACUAACGUUAGGCUAACUAAAUCAUAGCAUAAUUGUUUUCACAUGUCAAAGUGCUAUUCUUAUUGACGCUGGUUUACUGCAUUGGAUUUUGCAGGCUAACAUCCAAUGCAGUAAAAUACUGUUUUGAAUGUUGGGUAACUUAGCCACAUGGUCACAUUGUCCCUUAUUGAAUUUUUGUGUGGAUCCAGCCCAUCUUCCCGCUUAUAGAUGUAAGAAAAAAUGGCGGACGCAAAAGAGGAGGUGAACUAUUUUCUAAAAUGUUUAUUACGUUAAAGUAGUUGAGAUUUGUGGUGGUGUUUGUUUCAGUUACAUUUCUUUCUUUCUCCCCAUUCCUCUAGGACGAUUUGCGCAAUAUGGCCCUCAAUUUGGUGGCCAGGCUGAGAGCUACAUUGAAUAAUUCAACACCAAACAGCUUUCCUUAUUUACAUAUAACAAUAUAUAAAUACUGUUUUUGGAACAACUUAUUGCUUUCGUCAUGGAAGUGCUGCUGUCAUUAUCAUACAGCUCACCUAUUCAUUUAGCCUAUAACACAACAGAAGCUACAUGAUGUCAGCGAAUUAAUUAUGUUGAAUGAACAAUGAAGUUCAGGGACAGUGCAAUGCACAGUCAAGCUCAGCCAGAGUAUCCAGGCAGGACACAUCCCAGGAACCACAAGAUCACAAUGCGGUGCGUGGACCUGCACAGGCACCUUCAGGGACUGCAGUUCAACAGAAUAUGGCCAGGUGUUUCCCUGGACUAUUUAAAGAUAGGCAGAAGUGUGGGCCUCCUUUGCGAUUGUCCAAAAAAAGGUCAGGCACCAAAACAACGCCAAUCCAAUUCUUUCUUCUGGACAGCCCAACAGAGAGAACCCCCAAACCAUCUGAUGAGCUAAUACUUUUACAAGCUGGGUUAGGAAGAAGGACUGUAAAUGUCCCAGAGGAUUCUGGCCAUAAUGAGAUUACACACAUUCUUUCUGAGACAUAUCCACAGAUGUCAGAAAUGGAGGGUGCCUGGAUGCUGCACAAAGCCAUGGG